rnacentral:tRNA from 1 species
GGGCGGUUAGCUCAGUGGUAGAGCAUUUGUUUGACGUACAAAGGGUCAUCAGUUCAACUCUGAUACCGCCCACCA